rnacentral:rRNA from 1 species
UACGGGGGGAGCAAGCGUUGUUCGGAUUUACUGGGCGUAAAGGGCGCGUAGGCGGCCACCGCAAGUCAAUUGUGAAAUCUCCGGGCUUAACUCGGAAAGGUCAACUGAUACUGCGGGGCUAGAGUGUGGUAGGGGAGACUGGAAUUCCUGGUGUAGCGGUGAAAUGCGCAGAUAUCAGGAGGAACACCGAUGGCGAAGGCAGGUCUCUGGGCCACUACUGACGCUGAGAAGCGAAAGCAUGGGGAGCGAACAGG